CCCCCCCCCCCUCCCUCCUCCCUCUCUCUCUCUGUAUCUGCUUGGCAGCUCCAGGGAGAGGGGCUGAUUGAGCAGGCUUCUCUGCCCAGCGGAAAGCUCUCCGCAGGGGGGGGGGGGAAUAAGCAUUGUCCUAUGGAGGAUUUUCAAACCAGAUGGACUGGAGGCUUUACGCGUUCAUAUGCAGACAUGCCCUUGGAUUCAGCUUUUUCCGGGGAUGGACUGGGGUGCGGGGGUGGGGGGUGGAGAGGGGGAAUGUUCUUUUAUGGCAUUUGUGCCGGAAUACAGCCGGAGUCAAAGCGUUUUAUUGGUGUUAUGUCUCUUCACAGAGCACCUCUCUUAUUGGGCCCAUGGUCCACUGUUUCUCUACCUCCCAGAUUGAAACUGGUUUGGAUACCGCUCGAGGCAACCCCAUGUCUUCGUGUUAGGGCCCACGCACCACCCAGACUCAAACCGACGGCCAACCGCCUAUAUCUGACAACUCCGUUGCCUCUCGUCUGACCCGUUCGGCAGAAAAGAUGCAUUAAACACAGUGCAAAGACUACUGGCAACUUCACAGUAGCGUGUAUGUUCUGCGCUUUUGCGAGAUGCAAUACGUCUCCUUAACAUCGGGUGGCGCUAGUCCGCCCCUCCCACACACUGCGCUGAACAGUUGGUUGUGUGUUAGCAGCAAACAACCAAUCAAAGGCUCGGAUCCUUCGACGCCAAGGCUCUCAGACUUUGCGUGUUGAAUCGGACCAGACACAGUUCGUGUUGUUCCAAAGCUUCCAACACAGCUGAACACACCGUGACCGAACUCGUCCGAGUCUCCUCAAACGUUUCAGACGGCCAACGGUUGGGCCAGGGUGUUCCACGCGUUAGAGAACAGGGUUGGACACCGCUCUUUAAUGGCGUGUGAAUGCCAAGUAGAGACGUGAUAAUAAGCCAUAUUAAGAACUUUCUCGUGCGAGAACGUUUCUUGAGGAUACACGUUGAACUGGACUGCACUCUGUGUGUGUCUGUGUGUGUAUGUGUGUGCGCCUGCUGCCUUCUGUGUUUGAGUGUGUGUGUGUGUGUGUGUGUGUGUGUGUGUGUGUGUGUGGCUGUGGCUGUGUGAAAAAUAUUACUAACCACUGCUAUAAGGUAUGAGCACAUGGCCCCUUCAAUUUGAAAUUCUGAAGGCAAUUACGUUUUGAUGAGAUCCAGGUAGGCCUGGGAAGGCUAACUCUGAAGACAGCCAGCCGCGGCCGUCUGUUUGAGAUGUUAAAGGAGCCUUUUCUUCGUCUGGCAGAGGAGAGAAGUGUGUGGGAGUUCAGAUAUAAUAAAGUAGGCAACUUUGACCUCAACCCCCGGAAGCCUGUAGCGUUUCAUCGACCCACUGCUGCCACCUAGUGGUGCUUUUUUUUAGCUCAAUCUUUUUUUUUUCGAUAAAUAUAUGUUUUUCAUUUAGUAUUUUGCAAAUAGACCAAAGUCAGGAAAACAGUCAAAAACGAAUACAUAAUGACACAAAAAUCAUUAUGUCAUUAUGUACACUUAAUCAUUAUGUACACUUAAAACCUGAUAAUAAAUCAGGUUUUAAGUGAUUUAUUAUGAUUUAUUGUAAUAAAGUUGUGAAAAUUACGUGGAGGCGUUUUGAAACGUCUUAUCUUUCUCUUUGGGUCCAGGAGUUGGAGAAGCCUAGCCCCCCCCGGAAGCCCCUCCCGGCGGACCCCCUGGGAAGAGGCCCUCGCCUGGUGCGAAGUCCGUCCUCAGCCAAGGGCCCCGCACUGAUCCCGGGCCCCGCCCUGGUCCAGGGGCCCAGCGGGGGCCCCAGUGGCCCCAGUGGCCCCAGACCAGCCCGUCCGGCUCAGCACCCCAACAAACCCUCUCUCAAACAGCCGCCCACGCUACCAAAGCCUCGCGUCAUUGCCAACAUCAAAUACCGCAGCUGAGGCCCAGGGUCAGAAGGGGGCGGCGUUGGGAUGCCAUACGACAUUACAAUUUGCACUACAAAAAAAGAAGAAGAAGAAGAAGACUAUAAAAGAUGGUGGCUUCUCUGACAUCUGGAGGAAGGAGACACCACAGCGUCCUGUGAGCUACGCUGUCUCUGAUUGGUGCUAUGAGCCUCUAAUCAGGUCCAUGUUGUGUAUUUAUGUUGUUGAUGUAUUUAUUGCCAUACAGUGCACUGUGCCACACACUUUGACUUUAGCCGUAGCAACAAAUGCAAUUUUUAUCCACCGUUUGCUCCCGGUCGGCCAGUGGUUCGUCGUUGUCUCCUCACGGCUCCAAUGUACGACCAGAGACGGCGAAGGGGACGCCAGUCAACAGAGGAAGCCUGUAUUGGAAGUCUGUGCAAUUAUUAUGUGGGAAAAAAACUAAAUGGAGAACUUUUAUUUUUUGAAGUGAAGGGAACCAUCAAUCACGAUGGAAUUGUUGAUUAAUGUCCCGGCACGGUUUUAACCCGAGUUUUAAACGGCGUCGCUAUAGCAAAGAGACCUUGACAAGACCCCACUACUGGUGUUCAAGACCACCAACCAGUGAUAGGCCGAGACCUCCUGAAGAACCACAGCGCGGGUACUGGAAACACGAUUGUAAGGACGCAGCACGUCCAUCAUACAACAUCUGCAAAACGCCGUUAAUCUACAGGCACUUCCUGCGCAGAUCGGCCAAACAUUGAUCAUUUACCAAAAGGAAAUCUGUCUUCUGGGAGGAAGACGUUUAUCCGCAGCCAAAGGGGAAAACCCAUCAAGAAUAAUGCUCCUUUGACAGCUGGACGCUUACAGAAGGAAUCGGGGAGGAGGGGGGAGAGAGUAGGCCUAAUAGGGAAUGAACAAGGAGGUCACAGAGAGAGUUGCCGUUUAUGACUCCCCAUCGCUCCGAGUGGCUGGCCGUAUCCGUGCGUCCAGAUCGCUCUACCCCCUGCUUGCGUGAACCCAUUCCACGCAAAGCACCCAUUCCAUUGGUUCCUUGAUUUGAAUUCUGUGAUUUGAUUGGCUCUGUAGGCAUUAAAAAUGUGUGCAGGGUCCCGGCCACGUUGUUAACUUGAUUUAGGCAGCCAGCAGCACACAGACACACAGACACACAGUCACACAGACACACACAGACACGCACACGCACACGCACACGCACACACAGUCACACACACAGUCACACACACACACACACUGGCCGUUUAAUCGCUCCCCUUUAGAUGGGAGUCAUAUACUUGAAUAGGAAAUUAAUUCUAGACCUUCCCCUGGCCCGUGAAAUGAGGUCCAUUGUUGUUGUUUUGUUUUUUUAACAGUGCGCUCUAGAAGGGGAUCAUAUAAAAUGUGGCACCUGUGUCCAAUCACACUGAUCAACAACCUUCCCACUUUUAUUUAGUUUUAACCUUAUCUGUUUCUGUGUUUGUUCUCCAGUUGACCUUUUCACUCCGAACACGUGUACAACACGGGACAUGAAUCAACACAUUGUAAUGUUCGGUUUGACUUUGGUUCUGUGUUUGCCUUUUUUUUUUUUUUUAAGUCUUGUUUUUUUAUAUCUGAGCUGAAUGCGCUCCGACGGGGGAACCUUCAACACCUAGCGAACGUUCCUCCCAGCAUAGGCCUUCUUCUUCACCAUGUCGACUCACAACAGACGCAGAUCUGGAGAGCUUCGUGCUGACCCAUAGCACAGAAGACGUUGACUCUCGUCGUUACCUUUUUGAUACAGUCUUUUUAAACGAUGCACUUGUUUCACACGACUUUGUUUACUUUGCUAAUGCAGUGCCAUGUGUUAAUGUACUAGUAACUAUACACACACCUGUGAUGGUCGUCCAGUCAUGUCUUCAUUAGAGUGUGUUUAUCUCGCAGCUGUUGCCGGUGAGGACUACUUCACGGACAGUGCUUUUUUAGGUGUUAUUCUACGAUGAUUACUUGAUACAUCAGAUGUAAGGAAAACACUUUGAUCGGCACCCCUCUGUCCGUCACGUUAGGAAUCCACCUGAGCAGCAGUAAAAUACUUUAUCAAAACAA